rnacentral:rRNA from 1 species
CAGCCGCCGGGUAAUACAGAGGGUGCGAGCGUUAAUCGGAUUUACUGGGCGUAAAGCGUGCGUAGGCGGCUUUUUAAGUCGGAUGUGAAAUCCCUGAGCUUAACUUAGGAAUUGCAUUCGAUACUGGGAAGCUAGAGUAUGGGAGAGGAUGGUAGAAUUCCAGGUGUAGCGGUGAAAUGCGUAGAGAUCUGGAGGAAUACCGAUGGCGAAGGCAGCCAUCUGGCCUAAUACUGACGCUGAGGUACGAAAGCAUGGGGAGCAAACAGGAUUAGAUACCCCAGUAGUCCCUGUCUCUUAUACA